AUUGAACGCUGGCGGCAGGCCUAACACAUGCAAGUCGAGCGAGCGGCGGAAGGGUGAGUAAUGUAUGGGGACUGCACGAUCGAGGGGGAUAACUACUGGAAACGGUGGCUAAUAACGCAUACUAUCGGAUGACACAAAUGGGAUUCGCUAGGAGGUGGGGUAAAGUCUCACCUAGGCGACGAUCUCUAGCUGGUCUGAGAGGAUGAUCAUCCACACUGGGACUGUGCCACGGCCCAUACUCCUACGGAGGCAGCAGUGGGGACUAUUGCAUAAUGGUCGCAAGCCUGAUGCAGCCCGGCCGCUUGUAUGAUGAAGGCCUUAGGGUUGUAAAGUACUUUCAGCGUGGAGGCGUUACCCGCAGAAGAAGCACCUGCUAACUACGUGCCAGCAGCCGCGGUAAUUC
rnacentral:rRNA from 1 species